AACACAGUCAGCAAAAGACGGCGUGCUGAUUUGUGCGGUUCGAGAUGUCUCUAAAGUGUCUGGGUCUUUUAUUAGGUUUCGGCAUUUUCUCAUCACUAUGGAUGCCGUCUCACCAUGGAAACCCCCACCAAAUGUAUGUAAUAGCUACUGCUACUGGUACUGCUACUGCUACUGGUGCUACUCUUGCUUCUGCUACCAACACUGGUCAGACGGUGUCUUCUACAAUAAGAGUAUUCGUGCGGAUGAAGAUAAACAGCAGUGAGGAUCUGACUGACCCUACAGUGAUGGAGAACUUUCUUCAGAAGAUUACACCUUCCAGUGCACAGUUCUCAGAAGUCCAACUAAAGUGGACUAGCCAACCACAACGGAAAAUUUAACAGAGGGUGUCAGUAAUGCAUUUUGCAGCCUUCCGGCAUGAAGAAGUUGUGAACGGAAAGGAAGAAGAAAAAUAAAAGAAAUGCUCUGGUGUAUGAUUUAAAAUUAAAAAAAAUUCCAGGGAUUUAGCAUUUGUAAGGUCUUUGGUGUUUGGGAAUACUAGUUACCCAGCUAUCGUGUAACAUUUACUUAUCUGUUUAUUUAUGUACUACAUCACAUUUUAUUUCUGGAUAAAUGGAUGAUAUUGUAGACCUGCAGCAAUAGUUAGACCUGCUGCAGUCGCAAGACACAAUAUUUAAGUUCUGCACCCCUUAGCACCAAGGAGUGUAAUAUAAAGUGAACUCAGGUAUUUUGGGACGCUGGGACACAACCUGGGACACUUUAUAUGAGCAGCAUUUUUUUUUUCCAGGCCUGAUAAGCGAUAAGUCAAAACUUAUAUUACAAAGCCCUUGUAGAAGGAACCAUUUGAUAGAAAUAACACGACUUAAUUACUGUGACAUCAUAGAGUUUGAUUUAAGCACCAGACUGUUUGGCUAGUUGAUUUGUGGUUUUCUUCUGAAAUUUCAUUGAGUUAUCAAAAUAUUGAAGCCUAUGUUCUAAACCCUGUUAGUGUUGUUAGUGACGUUAGAAAUGAAUCAUAGAAUGUUACUUAAUAUGUAGUCUACUGUGUUCAAAUAAUAUUAGAAUACGGUGAUGAUAAAGUGGGAAAAUGUAGAUUUUUUUUUUAAAAUCCUGUUAUUGAAAUUUGAUUCACUAAUGUCAUGAAUAAGCUUGCAUCAAAUAAAUAAUGUAUUAAAGGAUGAAAUUAAAAGCCAAAACCAAUUAAAAUGGGUACCUUGCCUUAACAGGUACAUUCGGUAUACAGUACAGUAAUACAAAAUCUUUAUUUUAUUUUAUUUUAAAAUCACUGAGCUAGUUUUCAAACACUACUGACCAUGCCAGCAUGGGGCAGUGUGUGUGUGUGUGUGUGUGUGUGUGUGUGUGUGUGUGUGUGUGUGUGUGUGUGUGUGUGUGUGUGUGUGUAAGACACUGAAAAAAUCUGAAAGUUUACGUUUUGCCAAAGGUUCUAUAGACAAAUCAAUAAGCAAACAGGAAGUAGUAAGAAAAGUGGUAAGGGCUUUCACACAUCACACACUAGUGCUCAAAUGCUGAAGGUGUGUAUGGCUUGUUAGAGAUGUUUUACCAAACUGCCUCUCCUCUGCACUCCACAAUACAAAACCUUUAUGCAAACUUCGUAAUCCUGUCCUGAAUGAAGCAUAAACCCGGAUAAAGUUCGAUGAAACGAUAGAAAAAUACAUAAUAGUGGUUUAACCUGUUUCCUGAGCAGGCUCCUGACUCCAUUCUCCAUUCCUCACUCUGAUUAUCAUGUGAAUGUACAGUAGAUACAAGGUGUACCUAAUAAGCAUAAAAUAUACUGAGUGUAUAUUUCAAAAACCUUCACUUGUAUUGUUCUGGUUUCUGUACUCACUCGUUCAGUGCUGUGUAAAGCUGACUUGGCUGACUGUUUUUCUUGUGGCACAUAUAUCAUUCAAAUCAGUGCACUAGCAGUGAUUUAUAACCUAGGGAGAGAAUGUCAAACUUGGCCUGUAUUUGUCUACCAAAUAUACUGUGCUCAUCCCAUUUGGUAAACCCUUUGGGAAAACCCUUCACACGAUCUAUAGAAAGUUCAUAAAGCUACAAGCUUUCCAGAACUGAAACAUCGGUUUCCCCUUUUGCAUGAAUCAAAAACCAAAAGUAAAGUUUUAAAGUAGCAUUUCAAAAUCUGCUUGCCUCUGAAAAGGGAGAAAAUCGCGUGUAAAGAUUUCCUUCCAUUUCCACUGAAUACAAGUACUGCUUAUCGUUUUCAUAUCCAUUUAACUUAA